rnacentral:rRNA from 1 species
UACGUAGGGUGCAAGCGUUGUCCGGAAUUAUUGGGCGUAAAGAGCUCGUAGGCGGUUUGUUGCGUCGGCUGUGAAAUCCCGAGGCUCAACCUCGGGUCUGCAGUCGAUACGAGCAAACUAGAGUGUUGCAGGGGAGACUGGAAUUCCUGGUGUAGCGGUGAAAUGCGCAGAUAUCAGGAGGAACACCCGUGGCGAAGGCGGCUCUCUGGGACGGUACUGACGCUGAGACGCGAAAGCGUGGGGAGCGAACAGG